GAGUUUGAUCGUGGCUCAGAUUGAACGCUGGCGGCAUGCCUUACACAUGCAAGUCGAACGGUAACAGGUCUUCGGAUGCUGACGAGUGGCGAACGGGUGAGUAAUACAUCGGAACGUGCCCGAUCGUGGGGGAUAACGAAGCGAAAGCUUUGCUAAUACCGCAUAAGAUCUACGGAUGAAAGCAGGGACCGCAAGGCCUUGCGCGAACGGAGCGGCCGAUGGCAGAUUAGGUAGUUGGUGGGAUAAAAGCUUACCAAGCCGACGAUCUGUAGCUGGUCUGAGAGGACGACCAGCCACACUGGGACUGAGACACGGCCCAGACUCCUACGGGAGGCAGCAGUGGGGAAUUUUGGACAAUGGGCGAAAGCCUGAUCCAGCCAUGCCGCGUGCAGGAUGAAGGCC
rnacentral:rRNA from 1 species